rnacentral:sRNA from 1 species
UGCUCAAGAAAGGCCGCGGUACACGAA